rnacentral:SRP_RNA from 1 species
ACUGGGCGUAGUAGCGCGCGCCUGUAGUCCCAGCUACUCCGGAGGCUGAGGUGGGAGGAUCGCUUGAGCCUAGGAAUUCUGGGUUGCCCUGCGCUAUGCCUAUCGGGUGUCCGUACCAAGUUCGGCAUCAAUAUGGUGACCUCCCGGGAGCGGGGGACCACCGGUUGACUAAGGAGGGGUUAACCGGCCCAGGUCGGAAAUGGAGCAGGUCAUAACGGUGUUGAUCAGUAGUAGGAUCCUGCCUGUGAAUAUCCACUGCACUCCAGCCUGGGCAGCAUAGCGAGACUCGGUCUCU